UGUUUUGACAAAUGUUCAAACGAAAAUUGUACAGUGGAUGAAUUAUGGGAUAUUAAUGAAAAAAGUGUUGUGUAACGUAAAAAAACUAUAUAUACAUUUGCACCAUCUCGUCUUAGCCAAACUUAUCCAUAACGAUUAUAUAAAUAAAUGAUAUCUGGGAGUCUGGAACUCAGAAAAAUAUACUGGAUCUGAACAUGAAUGAAACAUUUGCCCCUGGACGUUCGGCUACAAACAAAAUCAUGCAUUUUUCUUUGCCUUCUUCAAAUUAUAUUAACAGUAUACUAUUCCAAGAAGAGAACUUCCCAUACAUGUACUUUUUAUUUUAUUUUUAAAAUAAAGUAUAUGAAUCAGUCAUGUGAGUGUUGGAUGAUGCCAUUAAAUAGUUUUGUUUAAAAAAAAAACCAUCACAAACUACUGACUUAAACAUGUUAAAAAGUCACUUUAGCAUGUUUAAUGACGGUUCAUUAUUAUGGAUACAGAGAGGAAAAAA
rnacentral:lncRNA from 1 species